rnacentral:rRNA from 1 species
AGUGAACGCUGGCGGCAGGCCUAACACAUGCAAGUCGAACGGCAGCACAAGAGAGCUUGCUCUCUGGGUGGCGAGUGGCGGACGGGUGAGGAAUGCAUCGGAAUCUGCCCAUUUGUGGGGGAUAACCUCGGGAAACCGGGACUAAUACCGCAUACGACCUACGGGUGAAAGCAGGGGAUCUUCGGACCUUGCGCAGAUGGAUGAGCCGAUGCCGGAUUAGCUAGUUGGAGGGGUAAAGGCCCUCCAAGGCGACGAUCCGUAGCUGGUCUGAGAGGAUGAUCAGCCACACUGGGACUGAGACACGGCCCAGACUCCUACGGGAGGCAGCAGUGGGGAAUAUUGGACAAUGGGCGCAAGCCUGAUCCAGCCAUGCCGCGUGUGUGAAGAAGGCCUUCGGGUUGUAAAGCACUUUUGUUGGGAAAGAAAAGCAGCCGGUUAAUACCCGGUUGUCAUGACGGUACCCAAAGAAUAAGCACCGGCUAACUUCGUG